rnacentral:lncRNA from 1 species
AUGGGAAGGUGUUUCACCGUUCUGUCACCAUUACAGUCACCAAAGUGGAAGUGUUGCCUAUUAGUUUUGUCUCACUUUUAUUGCAUAGUAAACUGUGUGUACAUUUGUAGGACUAAACUCCUGAACUCUGAAAUGGUUUAUGGCCUGAGCCCCUGGGGUUCUCCCAUCACAAUGACAUUUACUCAGUUUUGCCAGAACACACAUGUUUUUCUUUCUAAAUUUAGAUUUGCAGUCAGCCUGCUUUGUAAACAUGUGGAGAACGACAAAAGUAGAAGACACAAGGAUAUUGCAUGCUCAGUGCAUGUCAGCACAACAUCCACAGAGCUGAAGAAAGGUCGUGAGCCCGUUGUGUCAGACACAGCACAGACACUCAGAGAACCACGUGGAGGGCAGCUUAUUUUUAACAAGGGGGCCUUAAGAGUGAGCUACAUUAUCCUCGGCUGAAAUAGCUCAUGAAUCCUGCCUUUCCAAAAGUCCUCAUCAAGAAGGGAAGAAUUGCUCAAUAUUUAUGUUCACAUGAGCUCUUGCCAGCUUAUAAAAUGCAGUCCUAGGGAAAAAAAAAUAAAAGAAGCUGAACCAAAAAAAUAAUAAUCUGA